rnacentral:lncRNA from 1 species
GGGAACCUUUGGCCCCAGGGCUGGUGCCACUGGCAGCUCUGUCUGCGAGCCCUGCCCAGCAGGUAAGCAGGGACAUGGCAAGAGAAACUCAGGGGAAUACAUGGAAUAGUUCAGGAAAUUGUGUCUUCUCCCUUCAUGUUAAUGACUCCUCCACCAGUCUUCUGUGCAAGCCAUCUCAUGGAGAUUGCUUUUCUGUUCGUUUUAGGCAUGUAUUGCUCAGCACCAGGUCUGUCCCAGCCUUCUGGAUUUUGCUACUCGGGUUAUCACUGUGCCAGCGGAGCCACCAGCCCAGCGCCCUUCAAACACAGGGCACACCCUUCCCCACUCCCUGCAGCGCCGGGUGAGCAGCAAGGGGAGCAGCAAAGCUGGAAGUGAAAGAGCAGAUCUGCGCUGCAGGCACAGCGAGGACCGCAGCUUGCACCAAGGUACCUGGAUCGAGCUCGUGUACUUAUGUCAGCAAAGUCACAGACACAAACACAGCUCAGCACAGGCUGCAAAAUGUGCCAGGAAGCUGAAGGCUUGCUGUGGUGCCAUAAUUGCACUGCUAAAAGCGACCAAGUGCUGAGCUAACUAGCUCAGCUAUAGCUACUCUGUAGUGGCUAUUUUGAGACGCAGCCAGGAAGAAAAAGGGGAGGAACAGAAUGUUUUGCACCACAGAAUCCUGAACAACAGGGCUGAAAACUUAUUUUUAAUUCCCUUAAAAAGAAAAAAAAAUCUCAUAGAAAGUAGUAUACUGAAAGGGGGAUUUGAUUCAGCAAAGUUGGUAUCAAGUACUCAGGUUUUAGACGCUUUAGUAUAGGGAAGCUGAAGGACACCAUCAAGCCCUGUGCAAAAAUGGCCCCAUUUGUUCUUGUCUGAACAGGCACGAGGGAGAGUGAAACCCAGCAAUUAAUCAAGGGAGCGAUCUGAUAGACUCUUUGUCAUGUGUGGGAGUGCCAGAUACAUGACUCUGAGAGCCUGGCACGUGAAUUGGUUGCGCACUUCUUUGCUUCUGUUUAGCAGACACCCAAUGCACAGCUUCAGUAGGGCAGCCACACUGCUCCCAGUGGAUUUUCUAUCCCAAUUGAAAUGUUUAUGGCCUUGCAGAAUGAAAGUGAAUUGCUACACAAAUGCGCCUCUCCCUCUGCACCCCCAUAUUUCUGGUCACUGUAGGAUGAGAGGUCCUUCA